AGCUUUGCGCAGUGGCAGUAUCUUAGCCAGUGAGGUUUAUCCAAAGCGCGAUUAUUGCUAAUUGAAAACUUUUCCCAAUACCCGCCAUGACUACCUGAAAUAUAGUCAGCAUUGGCAAUUUUUGACAGUCUCUAUGGAGA
rnacentral:snRNA from 1 species